rnacentral:rRNA from 1 species
UACGAAGGGUGCAACCGUUGCUCGGAAUUAUUGGGCGUAAAGCGCACGUAGGCGGCAUCGCAAGUCCCAUGUGAAAGCCCACGGCUUAACCGUGGAAGUGCAUGGGAAACUGCAGUGCUUGAGUACUUAAGAGGAUCGCGGAAUUCCCGGUGUAGAGGUGAAAUUCGUAGAUAUCGGGAGGAACACCAGUGGCGAAGGCGGCGAUCUGGGAAGAUACUGACGCUGAGGUGCGAAAGCGUGGGGAGCGAACGGG